UAGGGAAUAUUGCAAAAUGGGCGAAAGCCCGAUGCAGCAACGCCGCGUGGGCGAUGAAGGCCUUCGGGUCGUAAAGCCCUUUUUGAGGGGAUGAGGAAGGACAGUACCCUCAGAAUAAGCCUCGGCUAACUACGUGCCAGCAGCCGCGGUAAAACGUAGGAGGCGAGCGUUAUCCGGAUUUACUGGGCGUAAAGCGCGUGCAGGCGGAUUGGAGAGUUGGAUGUGAAAGCUCCCGGCUUAACUGGGAGAGGUCGUUCAAUACUUCCAGUCUUGAGUGCAGUAGAGGGUAGUGGAAUUCCCGGUGUAGUGGUGAAAUGCGUAGAUAUCCGGAGGAACACCAGUGGCGAAAGCGGCUUCCUGGACUGUAACUGACGCUCAGACGCGAAAGCUAGGGUAGCAAACG
rnacentral:rRNA from 1 species